rnacentral:rRNA from 1 species
UACGAAGGGGGCGAGCGUUGUCCGGAAUUAUUGGGCGUAAAGAGCUCGUAGGUGGCCUGUCGCGUCGGCUGUGAAAACUCGGGGCUCAACUCCGAGCUUGCAGUCGAUACGGGCAGGCUAGAGUUCGGCAGGGGAGACUGGAAUUCCUGGUGUAGCGGUGAAAUGCGCAGAUAUCAGGAGGAACACCGGUGGCGAAGGCGGGUCUCUGGGCCGAUACUGACACUGAGGAGCGAAAGCGUGGGGAGCGAACAGG